UACAGAGGAUGCAAGCGUUAUCCGGAAUGAUUGGGCGUAAAGCGUCUGUAGGUGGCUUUUUAAGUCCGCCGUCAAAUCCCAGGGCUCAACCCUGGAAAGCCGGUGGAAACUGUCAAGCUUGAGUCCGGAAGAGGCGAGUGGAAUUCCUGGUGUAGCGGUGAAAUGCGCAGAUAUCAGGAGGAACACCAAUGGCGAAGGCAGCUCGCUGGGACGGUACUGACGCUGAGACGCGAAAGCGUGGGGAGCAAACAGG
rnacentral:rRNA from 1 species